CAGGACUGGUCCAGAAGUUCCAGAACCAGACGUGGCCUGAGGUCUGGAGGCCAGCAGUCCUACGUCAAGGUGUCAGCAGGGCUGAGCUCCCUCCAAGGCUGCAGGGGAGGGUCCUUCCUGCCUCUUCCAGCUCCCAGUGGCUCCUUGGCUUGUGUGAAGCUUCACCCUUGUCUCUGCCUCCCAUGUCCCGACCCCCUGCUUCCCGGCUGCACCCAGGCAGGAGGCAGAAGGCCCUGCACACACAGUAGGCAGCGCCGCUGAUACUGCUCUGACCCCCCGGGAGCCCAUCCAACCCAACUGACACCACAGCUCCACCCCCCACGUGCUCAGGGGAGGGCAGCUGCAGGCCCUGGAGGCGGCACUCGUGUGUGUAGAAAGCUCCCCAGUACCCCGCUUUGAAGUAGGCACCUCCGGGCAGGGAUCGCUCAGAAGGCAGUUACGUUGCCACGUGAGCUACAAUUUCAUGUGACUGAAACCACUGUGAGUGAGGAGGGGCCAGCCUCCAGACAUCGGUCCUGUCAGUGACAUAAGGAUUAACACGGAAAGGAACUAUUUGCAUAGAAUCUUUAGGACAACCAAGGAGUGUAGUGCUGGAUCUCUCCAGACACUGUUUAGACACCAAACCAGCCCAUCUCUGACUACGAACACUGCGGCAGUGCAGACUGCUUGGGUGCUCCCAGGGGCCACAGAUUCAAA